rnacentral:rRNA from 1 species
GUCGAGGAUCUUUCGCAAUGCCCGAAAGGGUGACGAAGCGACGCCGCGUGUGGGAAGAAGGCCUUCGGGUUGUAAACCGCUGUUGGGAGUUAGGAAGUGUGGGAGUGUUAAUAGCGCUUCCACUUGACUAAAGCUCCAGAGGAAGCCACGGCUAACUCUGUGCCAGCAGCCGCGGUAAUACAGAGGCGGCAAGCGUUGUUCGGAAUUAUUGGGCGUAAAGAGCACGUAGGCGGCUCUGCAAGUCAGCUGUGAAAGCCUUCUGCUUAACGGAAGAACAGCAGUUGAAACUACAGGGCUUGAGUGCGGGAGGGGAGAGUGGAACUUCUGGUGGAGCGGUGAAAUGCGUAGAUAUCAGAAGGAACGCCGGCGGCGAAAGCGGCUCUCUGGUCCGCAACUGACGCUGAGUGUGCGAAAGCUAGGGGAGCAAACGGGAUUAGAUACCCGAGUAGUCC